rnacentral:snoRNA from 1 species
UGGUCAUUACCAAGGCUUUUAGAAUGAAGUUUCUCAUUUGCUGUGGACAUGACCAUAAAAAAUUUUCCCACUAGGUUUUUCUGCCUGCUAUUUUGUUAGCAAUCAACCUGUUGGGAACAUUA